GUGAAUCAUCGAAUUUUUGAACGCAAAUUGCGCUUCCUGGCAUCCCGGGAAGUAUGCCUGUUUGAGGGUCAGUAUUAAUAAAAAUUCGUUUUAUUUACAAAUUGUGACGUUUCCGGUGUUUGGGCUAUCUUAACAUUUUUGGUAAAGAGUCUUAAAAUUGACCUUUUUUACGCAUUUUUAAAGUAACAUAAUUUUUUUUUAUUCUCUUAUUCUUAAUGCCAAAAUCUUAUUAGAUGCUACCAAUU
rnacentral:misc_RNA from 1 species